rnacentral:lncRNA from 1 species
AUGCCCGAAGAAUCAGCACAACCUGUUCCAUCCUGCUCCAUGCCUCACAAGCCCAGAGGCCUCUUUCGUGUACCUCCCAGUCAUUUCUUCUGUACCUUGAAGACACCUGUUCUACACGAGCUCAACGAUAGCACUGAGACCAAGGGAGUGAUUUUUCAUGGGGCACCAAACACCAUUACAGAUUUCUCUGCUGGCGUAGUUCUUUGCUUCUCUGUCCCUGUGUAUGUCAGAAGAGCACAGGAAGUCACUGGAUCAGACAGACUGGAGGUCUUCGGGUGUCCAAACCUACUCCAAGCUGUGGAAAUCCUCCCCAGGGAUCUCCAAGCUAUGCCUGUGAUUUUUCUAUUGACCUGCGAUGGAGAUUUGCAGGCAACAGAAGUAACUUGAGGACCCUCAGAAGAAGCAAAGUUUCCAUCUCAGCCAGUCUCACCCACUCAGGGGACCUCGCUGGACAAGAGCAGGCUCAGAGCUUCUUGGGGCUGCUUGGAUCUACCCUUGCAAGCCAGUGUGCUCUUCGCUGAGCCAGAGGGCACAUUUUAAACAAUUUCCCAGUUUUCCAAAAAAUGACCCCAGAUUUAUCACUCUGCUCUGGCCCCAUGGCAGUUGAGGUGGAAAAGAGCCACUUUCUGAUGUGCAGCGGCAGAUGUUCUCCCACUCUUUGCCAGUAUCCCUGGUCUCACUACCCAAACCUCAACCUGUUUCUGUGUAUUUGUUCCACCGAUGGAAGCACCACAAGCACCAGGAUGCAGAAGUUGUCUGGUAUCCCAGGGAGUAAGAGAGCUCAGUGCACCCAUGCAAGUGCCAAAGUCCCUAAUAUAUUUUGUUUUGCAUAACAGAGGGGAUUUUGAGUGCUUUGCCCAAAGCUGAGGAUACUUCCAGCAGCAUCAAUGCAGUGCUUGGAAAUGGCAUUGGCAUCCUUAUUGAGCUCCCAGCCCCAGUUGUUUGCUUGCUGUGGAAGCAGGCAAGAGAUGUGGCUGAAGUUUCACCUGUUUUUAAGUCAUCUCUGAAUGUCCCCCAUGACCACGAUUUAUGCAGGAGAAAAAAAAAGAAAAAGCAGAAAGGUAACAAAUAUGCCAAACAAAACUUCCAGCAGCAGCCACCAGAAGCUACAAUUAAAUCAGUCCUCAUCCCACAGAAGGACAUUUCUGCAAACAAAACUGAAGGUCAAUGACAGGUGCUGGGGUGGGGACAGGAACAGACCCAAACUUUCUACACCUGCAAUGAAUUGGAAAGGACUUGAGAUUAAGGUCUCCUGUUGUUUGGUGUGGCCUUCUCCCACCCAACUCCAACCCCAAGAGCAAAAAUAAACCAAAACUAAAAGAAAAAGUCA